UUUCAUCAAGUAGACUAGUAGUAGCAGGAGAACUAAGAUAUACAAUUUAAAGUUAAAACAACGUAAAAAAAAUAGUGAAAGAGAGAUUGCAACGUAAUUUUGUAGUGUUGAUCCAAAGAAAAACAAGAUUGAAAUUGAAGUUGAAUAGACGCAAAGCUUUUGUUGGAAUGAAAAAGUAGAGCAGCGGUUGGUCAGAGAAACUGUUGUAAUCAACCACGAAGAGAACGAAAAAUCAUAUAACAGUAUAAUAAAAAACCAAAACAAAUAAUAAUAAAGAUUCAUAAAUGGAAUAUGUUACCAAUUGGCACCAUAUCAAAUUGUCAAUGCUUUAAUGUUGAUGUACUAGUUCUUUCUUCGGAGAUAUAAACUCAUGAAGGAAAAACUGCUCCUAAUAAAAAGAGAUUAGAAGAAAGGGAAGUAUUGAUUGUUAAAAUACAAGAAACAUACCUCAUACUAACAGAUUAAAAAUGCCUUUGAAUUCCUCUGCACCUUUAAACAGAAUGGGCAAAUUCUGAAAUCAAAUGAAUAAAAAAUUAUGAUUGUUUUUAUAAGUCCUAUACUUAUGUUUCCCUCCUUAAGUUCAACUACACUGGUUUGACCGACAGUGUUGGUAGAACAAUGAAAAAAACAUACACUCAAAUUGAUGGUAUGAACCAGAAAAUCCAAGCAGCUAUAAUUUGAACAUAUUUUCUAUUUGCUCUUUCGAAUACACAUUCAAUAUUUCUUGAUACUACAGAGGGUCGAGUUCGUUUAUUUUAAUGAGUAAAUGAGGCAGGUGAUAAUGUAGUUGAUUAUGGAAAUGAAAAGUUUGGAGGUAGAUCCUAGAAUAUUAUUCUUUUUUACUGAAUAGGAUAUAGAAGACAAAUAAAUUGUUGAGUGCAAAAUAGAAGGAUAACAAUCAAUGAAGACAAAACAUAUAGGGGGUUUGCAAAAUUCUUGGAUGCACACACACAAACAAAAAUAAUUCAUGCCCAAAAAGAUCAACUGACAUUUUGCAAAAUAGAAAAACCAGAGCCAUUGAUAGUAUGAUGAGAUAACAAAAAGACGAACUGCAUGAUGUCGAGAAUGAUGAAAUUUUAUUCAACCCUAACAAAAAUAAAUCAACCAAUCUAAUAGGCACAAUAAUGUGAUAAAUUAGUCCAAUUCAUCAAGGAUAAAAAAUCCCUUCAAAAUAAGUAAGCUCUAAAGUGGAUUGCAACAAAGACCAGACUAUAGAAAUUUUAUUUUGAAUUCUGAAACUUAUAUAUUGGACUACUAUCCAUAUACCUUAUGCGAUAUAAAACAGGGAUUCCAAUAUCAACAAAGUAUUCUUCUACAUUUAUCACAUGACUGCGAGAUGCAAUACGACCACCUUUGGCUACAAAUAUUUUAUCAUCAAACAUUAUGAACAAAGUAUAGCAGCAACUAUAAAAAAUCAAAAUAUAAUAGAUGGAGAUAUAUAGGUUGACUGUUUGAUGAACAUUUUAAUUUGUUUCAUUAGUACAAUGUAGAUGUUUACGGUAACAGAGAAAGAAACAUAUUACCUUGGUUGGUGAAGUACUAUGUAGAUGUUUACUUUCUUCUAAUGACCUUCAAAUUUAGCCCUUCAAUAUGCAAAACUUGGUUCAUCAUAGAACGAACUUGCACUGAUAAUUCAAUUGAACCUAGUCAAAUUACAAAAAUAAUGUACAAGUUAAACGCAAGGUUCUUAUAUAU
rnacentral:lncRNA from 1 species